rnacentral:tRNA from 1 species
GGGCGAGUGGUGGAAUUGGUAGACACACUGGCUUCAGGUGCCAGCGAUCGCAAGGUCAUGAGAGUUCGAGUCUCUCCCCGCCCACCA